rnacentral:rRNA from 1 species
AUACGGAGGGGGUUAGCGUUGUUCGGAAUUACUGGGCGUAAAGCGCACGUAGGCGGACUGGAAAGUUGGGGGUGAAAUCCCGGGGCUCAACCCCGGAACUGCCUCCAAAACUUCCAAUCUAGAGAUCGAGAGAGGUAAGUGGAAUUCCUAGUGUAGAGGUGAAAUUCGUAGAUAUUAGGAGGAACACCAGUGGCGAAGGCGGCUUACUGGCUCGAUACUGACGCUGAGGUGCGAAAGCGUGGGGAGCAAACAGGAUUAGAUACCCCAGUAGUCC